UACGAAGGGGGCUAGCGUUGUUCGGAAUUACUGGGCGUAAAGCGCACGUAGGCGGAUAUUUAAGUCAGGGGUGAAAUCCCAGAGCUCAACUCUGGAACUGCCUUUGAUACUGGGUAUCUUGAGUAUGGAAGAGGUAAGUGGAAUUGCGAGUGUAGAGGUGAAAUUCGUAGAUAUUCGCAGGAACACCAGUGGCGAAGGCGGCUUACUGGUCCAUAACUGACGCU
rnacentral:rRNA from 1 species